rnacentral:rRNA from 1 species
GGAUGAACGCUGGCGGCGUGCCUAAUACAUGCAAGUCGAGCGAACGGACGAGAAGCUUGCUUCUCUGAUGUUAGCGGCGGACGGGUGAGUAACACGUGGAUAACCUACCUAUAAGACUGGGAUAACUUCGGGAAACCGGAGCUAAUACCGGAUAAUAUUUUGAACCGCAUGGUUCAAAAGUGAAAGACGGUCUUGCUGUCACUUAUAGAUGGAUCCGCGCUGCAUUAGCUAGUUGGUAAGGUAACGGCUUACCAAGGCAACGAUGCAUAGCCGACCUGAGAGGGUGAUCGGCCACACUGGAACUGAGACACGGUCCAGACUCCUACGGGAGACAGCAGUAGGGAAUCUUCCGCAAUGGGCGAAAGCCUGACGGAGCAACGCCGCGUGAGUGAUGAAGGUCUUCGGAUCGUAAAACUCUGUUAUUAGGGAAGAACAUAUGUGUAAGUAACUGUGCACAUCUUGACGGUACCUAAUCAGAAAGCCACGGCUAACUACGUG